GCGAAAUAGACAUAAUGUGCUUCAGGAGGACACGACCAAAACUGCUUUACAACAAGAACUUGAACUGUACAAGCAGAAUUAUCAGCAAGAACUCCAAGCACGUAAACAAUAUCAAGACGAGCUGAAAAAAACAAGGAUUUACCGACCUUGACUGUUUGCCGUCCGCCCCGACCACUGCCUGAUACUGUUUAUGAUUCCCUGUGAUAUCCCUGUCAUUGUCGUUGAUUCUCUACCUGUAUGAUCACGAUCAAUAAAU